AUGCUCGCUUCAGCAGCACAUGCACUAAAAUUGGAAUGAUACAGAGAAGAUUAGCGUGGCCCCUGAGCAAGGAUGACACGCACAUUUGUGAAGUGUUCCAUUAAAAA
ensembl:snRNA U6 U6 spliceosomal RNA